GGGAGGAUAGGAUAGCAUGCGUGGUCGGGACGAAAGGAAAAACGGGCCGCGGAGGAAGGGGAUAUAAGUUCGGUCUACGAAAGGAAAUACAGGCCAGUCCAAAACGGACCAAGAAAACAAUUUUUACUUUAGAAAUAUAUAGGUAGGGAAGAGGUAGUGUAAGAGAUAUAUCCUCCAACAGUUAAGAGUCAAAUAAUAGCUCAUACAUAUGGAUAGAUCCAUAUACCAACCUCAGUAAUUUGAAGUGUACGUAAGAC
rnacentral:lncRNA from 1 species